GGAGACGUAGCUCAGGGGUAGAGCGCUCGCUUCGCAUGCGAGAGGUCCCGGGUUCAAAUCCCGGCGUAUCCA